rnacentral:rRNA from 1 species
ACGAACGCUGGCGGCGUGCUUAACACAUGCAAGUCGAACGGAGAAUUUACUUCGGUAGAAUUCUUAGUGGCGAACGGGUGAGUAACGCGUAGACAACCUGCCUCUUAGAUGGGGACAACAUCGCGAAAGCGGUGCUAAUACCGAAUGAAGCGGAGCUUCCGCAUGGAAGCAUCACCAAAGGUGGCCUCUAUUUAUAAGCUACCACUGAGAGAUGGGUCUGCGUCUGAUUAGCUAGUUGGCGGGGUAAUGGCCCACCAAGGCGACGAUCAGUAGCCGGUCUGAGAGGACGACCAGCCACACUGGGACUGAGACACGGCCCAGACUCCUACGGGAGGCAGCAGUGGGGAAUCUUCCGCAAUGGACGAAAGUCUGACGGAGCAACGCCGCGUGAGUGAAGAAGGUUUUCGGAUCGUAAAGCUCUGUUGUUUGAGACGAAUGUGCAGACUUUGAAUAAGGGUUUGUAAUGACGGUAUUAAACGAGAAAGCCACGGCUAACUACGUGCCAGCCGCAGC